AAUAUUGGGCAAUGGAGGCAACUCUGACCCAGCAACGCCGCGUGAAGGAUGAAGGCCCUCGGGUCGUAAACUUCUGUCGAGAGGGAAGAAACGCGUACGGUUAAUAUCCGUGCGCCUGACGGUACCUCCAAAGGAAGCACCGGCUAACUCCGUGCCAGCAGCCGCGGUAAUACGGAGGGUGCAAGCGUUGUUCGGAUUUAUUGGGCGUAAAGCGAGUGUAGGCGGUUUGACAAGUCGGGUGUGAAAUCCCAGGGCCCAACCCUGGAACUGCAUCCGAUACUGUCAGGCUAGAGUUCCGGAGAGGGUGGCGGAAUUCCCGGUGUAGGGGUGAAAUCCGUAGAUAUCGGGAGGAACACCAGUGGCGAAGGCGGCCACCUGGACGGUGACUGACGCUGAGACUCGAAAGUGUGGGUAGCAAACAGGAUUAGAUACCCUGGUAGUCCACACCGUA
rnacentral:rRNA from 1 species